rnacentral:lncRNA from 1 species
UAAGGAAUAAAUGUAAAGAGGUGAGACGUUUGUACCUUGAAAUCCACAAACACUGAUCAAAAUGAUUAAAAACAUAUAUAAAUAGAGAUAGAACCCAUAUUGAUGGAUUGGAAAAAUUAAUAUUGCUAAAUGAUUAUAUAACCUAAUGUGAUUUAGAUUCAACACGGUACCCAUAAAAAUCCCUAUCAGAUUGUGUUAAAGAAACAAAAAACUGGCUGGGAAAAGUGGCACACGUCUGUUGGCCAGGCUGAUCUCAAACUCCUGACCUCAAGGGAUCUAACUGCCUUGGCCUCCCAAAGUGCUGGGAUUACAGGCAUGAGCCACCGUGCCUGGCCCAAUCCUCUUAACAUAAACACUUUAACAUCAAUUAAUGCUUGAACUCAAUGUUAAAUCAACUCAAACUCAAGUCAAUGCUGAAUUGACUCUAAUGACAAUUAAUGCUUGAUGGUUUGCUAUACUCAUUGCCUGUGCAUCAAUUAUCUCAAAAAUGAAUUUUCUGAUGUUCUGCAAGGAGUGACCUCAGACUGAAACCUUGUCACACUUAUGACAUUUGUAAGAUUUCUGUCCAGUAGGGAUUCUCUGAUGCCUAAUGACUUGUGAACGUGAAGUAAAGACUUUGCCAUAAUUAUCACACCUGUGAGGUUUCUCUCCUGUAUGAAUUCUCCUAUGUUUUGCCUAGGAUGAAGCUUGACUGAAGACCUUGCCUCAAUCAUGACAUUUGUAAGGUUUCUCUCCAGUAUGAGUUCGCUGAUGAACUGCAAGUUAUGAACGAUGUCUGAAAACUUUGCCACAUUUAUUAACACUUGUAAGAUCUCUCUUCAUUACGGAUUCUCCAAUGAUUUGCAACAGUUCUAGCAUUACCAAAGGCAUUGUGACAAUCAUUGCAUUAGUAAACUUUCCCUACACCAUGGAUUGCCUGAUGGAUGGUGAGUAAGUGGUGAUUGCCCACUAAAGGCUUUGCCACACUCAUUACACUUGUAAGGUUUCUCUCCAGGGUGAAUUCUAGUAUGUCCUGCAAGGUGUGAAUCACACCCAAAAUCCUUAUCACAAACCUUACAUUUGUAUGGUUUCUCUCCAGUAUGAAUUCACCUAUGUCUUUCAAGCUGUGAUUUACGACUGAAAACUUUGUCACAGGUUUUUCUCCAGUAUGAGUUCACUGAUGAACUGCAAGGUAUGAAUGAUGACUGUAAAAUUGGCCACAUUUAUCACACUUGUAAGAUCUCUCUUCAUUAUAGGUUCUCCAAUGAUUUGCAAGUGUUGUAGUUUUACUGGAGACUUUGUGGCAGUCAUUACAUCUGUGAGCUUUCACUAUACCAUGGAUUGCUUGAUGGUGAAUAGGCGAUGCCCUCACCCUAAAGGCUUUGCCACACUCAUUACACUUGUAAGGUUUCUCUCCAGUGUGAAUUUCAGUAUGUUCUGCAAGGAGUGAAUUGAGCCCAAAAACCUUUUCACAAACCUUACAUUUGUAUGGCUUCUCCAGUGUGAAUUCUCCUAUGCAUUGCAAGGUGUGAUCUGCAACUGAAAACGUUGUCACAUUCUUUACAUUUGUAAGGUUUCUCUCCAGUAUGAAUUGCCUUGUGAACAAAAUUACAACAAAUUAGCUGGGUAUGGUGGAUUCCGCCUGUAGUCUCAGCUGUUCUGGACCCUGAGGCAGGGGAAUUGCUUGAACCCAAGGCAGAGAUUGCAGUGAGCUGAGAUCGCACUGCUGAAAAGACACAAACAAGUUGAAAGCCACUGUGACUCGGCUCAUUGCAAACUGCCUCCUGGGCUCAAGCGAUUCUCCUGCCUCAACCUUUCGAGUAGCUGGGACUGCAGGUGCACACCACCAUGCCUGGCUAAGUUUUGUAUUUUUAGUAGAGACAGGGUUUUGUGAUGCUGGCCAGACUGGUCUCGAACUCCUUACUGCAAAAAAAUGAAUAUAUAAUACAUAGAAGUAUAUGUAUUUCUAUGAAAUAUAUAACACAUAGAAAUGAAUAAGUUGAAAGCCUCUGUGUCUUAAACAAAUGACAGUAGAACUAAAAUAUGGGAAGGUCGGGCAUGGUGGUUCACACCUGUAAUCCCAGCACUUUGGAAGUCCAAGGCAGGUGGAUCACGAGGUCAGGAGUUCAAGACCAUUGUGGCCAACAUGGUGAAAACCUGUCUCUACUAA